ACGGAGGGGGGCGGGGCCGAGCCCGGAGCCGACCUCGGGCGGCGACUCGCGGGCGGCGGGGCCUGGCGCGCCGCUCGCUGCAGGGGAGGGAGCCAGUUCGCGGCCGGAUCGCCGCCGGCCGCCGCGGGGCCCGCUCUCCGCCCCCGGGACCGCUGCCGGGAGCGUCCCUCGCAGUGACCUCGGAAAAGCACGGGGAGCGAGUUUGUUUCGCUCUGCGGCUCCCCCGGCCCCCGUCCUUUCCCAGGAGUUCGGGAACCUGGAAAGACGUCCUCCGGGCGUCCGCCUCCCCCGUCUGAUCGGGAAGGGGACCCGGGCGCACACGCGAUGCGAGUCUCUGUGCUGCGUACACACAACUCCGCUGAGGCUCAUCCCGGCCGCUGGUCGGAGGGGUCACCGAUCAGCUGGUCCUCAGCGGGCCCGGACCCCUCUCAGCUUUCUAACCAGGGGGAGUUGGAGGCUGCUUCCCAAGGUUGCACAGGGACUCCGACGAAACAUUCUGUUUUGAAGGUGAACCGAGCAUACUCGAGAGUUUAGCGUCCGUCGGCACAGGAGGAGUCGAACGGAAAGUAGAUGAAACCUCGACACCUUUUAGCAUUAGCUGAACCAUCGUAACAGGGAGCAAGCACCUGAACCAGUUUAUUAUUAUUAUUUUUUAAUCCAGACCCUGCAGCCUGUUUAAGUAGCACACAGAGCACUGCCACGCUGUGUCUUCCCUGCUUCCUCUCCGUUUCACUGGGGAGGUAGGAGAAACGAUCUUCUUUCUAACGCUUGUGCUUGUAUGUAGCAAGCGAAAAGGAAGCUAGAGAGAGAGAGAUACAUUGUACAAAAGAGGGAGAAGCAGGAGUGGAGUUCUCCCAUCCCUCACCCACAAAAGAAACAUAGAAUCCAGUUUUGUGUUAUCUUUAUCUCUUCUGUGUAAUAUGUUACUCUUUAGAACACACGAGUUACUUUUUUUAAGUGGUCUAAGCCCUUAAGCCUCUCUCUUAGAGGUGCCAAACCUACAUCCACGUGAAGCCUUCUCUUCCUUCCGGCGAUGCUUAUAAAAGAGUUGAGAAGCCCUCGGAUGCCUCGCUCUCUGGUGGCACACAGUUGGAGACCUGCAUCUGUGCCUCAUUAAAAACAAAGCACCGCUGGCCUCCAAACGCACCGGCCGCCCCUGGCAGUGCCCACUUCCUUCCCCCUGGUGACUGCCGACACUUUGAGAAUGAGCGUUUGGAAUGAUUUCUUGGCAGUAACCAUAGUGGGGACUGGGCCUUGUGAAGAAUGCUUUGAUGCCUUGUAUAUCAGUCUUUCUGUCCCCUUUUCAGAAAUAGAGCUUUAGGGCAAAUGAGAGACAUCAUCAAAAAAAAAAACAACAGACAAA